rfam:Methylobacterium sp. Leaf456 contig_2, whole genome shotgun sequence.
CAACGAACGAAAGGAGGUGAUCCAGUGUCUCAUUGUCAUCAGCCGUCGCCGACGACCACGACCUGGACCGUUACCUCCCUCGUCUGCGCCUGACGCAUUCGCGGGAUCACGACAGGUUUCGUCGGGCCGACCGGUUCGACAAUGGAAGGGCCGCUCCCGGCAAGGGAGCGGCCCU